rnacentral:rRNA from 1 species
UACAGAAGGUGCAAGCGUUAAUCGGAUUUACUGGGCGUAAAGGGCACGUAGGCGGUAGGAUGUGUGUGAUGUGAAAGCCCCGGGCUUAACCUGGGAAGUGCAUCGCAAACUAUCUAACUAGAGUAGAUGAGAGGGUGGCGGAAUUUCCAGUGUAGCGGUGAAAUGCGUAGAGAUUGGAAGGAACGUCAAUGGCGAAGGCAGCCACCUGGCAUCAUACUGACGCUGAGGUGCGAAAGCGUGGGGAGCGAACAGGAUUAGAUACCCUGGUAGUCCACGCUGUAAACGAUGAGGACUAGAUGUUGGUAGGGGAACCUAUCAGUAUCGAAGCUAACGCGAUAAGUCUUCCGCCUGGGAAGUACGGCCGCAAGGUUGAA